ACGAACGCUGGCGGCAUGCCUAACACAUGCACGUCGAACGAGACCUUCGGGUCUAGUGGCGCACGGGUGCGUAACGCGUGGGAACCUGCCCUUAGGUUCGGAAUAACUCCCCGAAAGGGGUGCUAAUACCGGAUAAUGUCUUCGGACCAAAGAUUUAUCGCCUUUGGAUGGGCCCGCGUUGGAUUAGCUAGUUGGUAGGGUAAAAGCCUACCAAGGCGACGAUCCAUAGCUGGUCUGAGAGGAUGAUCAGCCACACUGGGACUGAGACACGGCCCAGACUCCUACGGGAGGCAGCAGUGGGGAAUGUUGGACAAUGGGCGAAAGCCUGAUCCAGCAAUGCCGCGUGAGUGAUGAAGGCCUUAGGGUUGUAAAGCUCUUUUACCCGGGAUGAUAAUGACAGUACCGGGAGAAUAAGCUCCGGCUAACUCCGUG
rnacentral:rRNA from 1 species